rnacentral:rRNA from 1 species
GACGAACGCUGGCGGCGUGCUUAACACAUGCAAGUCGAACGCUGAAGCUCAGCUUUUGUUGGGUGGAUGAGUGGCGAACGGGUGAGUAACACGUGAGUAACCUGCCUCCUUCUUUGGGAUAACGCCCGGAAACGGGUGCUAAUACUGGAUAUUCACUGGUCUUCGCAUGGGGGUUGGUGGAAAGGGUUUUUCUGGUGGGGGAUGGGCUCGCGGCCUAUCAGCUUGUUGGUGGGGUGAUGGCCUACCAAGGCUUUGACGGGUAGCCGGCCUGAGAGGGUGACCGGUCACAUUGGGACUGAGAUACGGCCCAGGCUCCUACGGGAGGCAGCAGUGGGGAAUAUUGCACAAUGGGCGCAAGCCUGAUGCAGCGACGCCGCGUGAGGGAUGGAGGCCUUCGGGUUGUGAACCUCUUUCGCUCAUGGUCAAGCCGCAACAAUGGUUGUGGUGAGGGUAGUGGGUAAAGAAGCGCCGGCUAACUACGUG